rnacentral:rRNA from 1 species
CCUACGGGAGGCAGCAGUGAGGAAUAUUGGUCAAUGGACGAGAGUCUGAACCAGCCAAGUAGCGUGAAGGAUGACGGCCCUAUGGGUUGUAAACUUCUUUUAUAAAGGAGUAAAACGAGGCACGUGUGCCUUAUUGCAUGUACGUUAUGAAUAAGGAUCGGCUAACGCCGUGACAGAAGCCGCGGGAAGACGGAGGAUCCGAGCGUUGUCCUGAGUGAGUGGGUUUAAAGGGAGCGUAGAUGGGUUGUUAAGUCAGUUGUGAAAGUUUGCGGCUCAACCGUAAAAUUGCAAUUCAUACUGGCAGUCUUGAGUACAGUUGAGGUAGGCGGACUUC